rnacentral:rRNA from 1 species
GACAGAGGGUGCAAACGUUGUUCGGAAUUACUGGGCGUAAAGCGUGUGUAGGCGGCUACAUAAGUCGGAUGUGAAAGCCCCGGGCUCAACCCGGGAAGUGCACUCGAUACUGCGUAGCUUGAGUCUCGGAGAGGUUGGUGGAAUUCUCGGUGUAGAGGUGAAAUUCGUAGAUAUCGGGAGGAACACCGAUGGCGAAGGCAGGUCUCUGGGCUGACACUGACGCUCAUGCACGAAAGCGUGGGGAGCAAACAGG